UAAGGUGAUAUGAACCGUUAUAACCGGCGAUUUCCGAAUGGGGAAACCCAGUGUGACUCGUCACACUAUCAUUAACUGAAUCCAUAGGUUAAUGAGGCGAACCGGGGGAACUGAAACAUCUAAGUACCCCGAGGAAAAGAAAUCAACCGAGAUUCCCCCAGUAGCGGCGAGCGAACGGGGAGGAGCCCAGAGCCUGAAUCAGCAUGUGUGUUAGUGGAAGCGUCUGGAAAGGCGCGCGAUACAGGGUGACAGCCCCGUACACAAAAGCGCAUGUGCUGUGAGCUCGAUGAGUAGGGCGGGACACGUGGUAUCCUGUCUGAAUAUGGGGGGACCAUCCUCCAAGGCUAAAUACUCCUGACUGACCGAUAGUGAACCAGUACCGUGAGGGAAAGGCGAAAAGAACCCCGGCGAGGGGAGUGAAAAAGAACCUGAAACCGUGUACGUACAAGCAGUGGGAGCACAGGUUUACCUGUGUGACUGCGUACCUUUUGUAUAAUGGGUCAGCGACUUAUAUUCUGUAGCAAGGUUAACCGCAUAGGGGAGCCGGAGGGAAACCGAGUCUUAAU
rnacentral:rRNA from 1 species